rnacentral:rRNA from 1 species
AUUGAACGCUGGCGGCGUGCCUAACACAUGCAAGUCGAGCGGUAACAGGUGUAGCAAUACAUGCUGACGAGCGGCGAACGGGUGAGUAAUGCUUCGGAAUCUACCCAAUGGUGGGGAAUAACCAGCCGAAAGGUUGGCUAAUACCGCAUACGUCCCACGGGAGAAGGCAGGGGAUCGCAAGACCUUGCGCCAAUGGAUGAGCCGAAGUCGGAUUAGCUAGUUGGAGGGUAACGGCCUACCAAGGCGACGAUCCGUAGCUGGUCUGAGAGGACGACCAGCCACACUGGGACUGAGACACGGCCCAGACUCCUACGGGAGGCAGCAGUGGGGAAUAUUGGACAAUGGGGGAAACCCUGAUCCAGCGACGCCGCGUGUGUGAAGAAGGCCUGCGGGGUUGUAAAGCACUUUUAGUGGGGAUGAAAUGUUCAGGGUUAACACCUCUGGAUUUUGACCUAACCCAC